UGAGAACUCCUUCGCUGCUGUUUAAAAGCCUCACAGAAUCGAUUCUUUAGUUCUCACCUGUCUCUUGUGUUCGGAUCUCUCACAUGACAGGGAGAAUGGGGACAGAGGAAGGGUCUGUAACACAAACGAAUUGCUGAAGGUUCUUCGAAGUUUUUGGAAAACUAAAUGCCCAAAACGGAUAUUCACAGACCACCUGAAAGCUCACCCGGGAGGGACAGCUCGGGUUUACAGAAACGCUGCUCCGACGAUACCGAGCCGAACUAUUAGAGCUGAAUACUGUCGUCCCGUCGCUGCAGUGCCAGCAAUCAACAGUUGGGAGUUAAAAAAAAAUUCUGUCACUCAGAAGAGAGUGCAGUUCUCUCACCUGACGUUCGUGAUCAUGGGGGCGCUGUUCGACCUUCGGAGGGCUCCUCCUGCGCCUGCGCACUGGUCCACCUCCAUCCUCUCCAUAGCUCGUCCUCUGGCGCCGGGACUGCGCGUCACUCACGGCCGGGCUGAACGCGACCUGACGCGGCCUAACCCCCAAAUCUCACCCGGCAAAAGCCCGACCAGCAGGCCUCACGCCAAAAUACCCGAUCCAAUUUAACCGAAUGAACUGCUUUCCCGUGUCUAUCGCAUUUUGUUUUAUUUUCCAAACGAAAUAGUGUCAGCUUGAUAUACUAAUUUACUGAACAGCUGUGAGCUCGAGCUGCAGCUGGUUUAUCGGAUCGCACACAAACUUAGUAUAAACUCCUCAGGUUGCUUUCGUCGGCGUAAACAGGAAGCAAAUACAGUUAUUUCUUAGCAUUAAAGAGAUUUUUCGUAUUCAGACCACAAGUUAUGUAUAGUCGGCACUAACGUUAUUUCCGAAGCAAAGCCACAAACAAGGUCCUUUGGCUUUUUAAUCCAAUCCAACUUAUCCAAACAGAGCAAAUAUAACAUCGAAAAGCAAAAACAGAACAUAAGCGAAUAAAUACGGAUAAAAGUGGUCAGAAAAUACGCUUUCGGGUCUUUUCGGUCAAAUGUCGUUAUAAAGGUGAAGCUUUCUGCCACGGCUUGUUUUUUUUUUCAAGUUUACCUGCUAGUUUGUAAAGCAGUCGGAGAAAUGACAUAACACCAUCCCGAUCAAACAUAUGAUCGUCGGCUCUGUCGGCGAAAGCAUCCUCAUCUAAAAGUGUCUGCUGAUACAGUCUGAAACACGGAAUACAUUAAAAGUUUUCGGUCAUUUCUUAAUUUAGAAAAUAAAACAUAUUUCCCGCAACCAAAUAGAGAUUGUGCAUCCCCUUGUACAACAGCGCCUCGCUCUGGUCAACAAGAGAAUUGCACGCAGAGAUAAAGCACUGCUCGAGACAAGUGAAUAUGUGGCGUACAGCUACAGUAUUUACUGCAAGAUACAUAGAGUUUGCUUUUCAGAUUAAUCUGAUUAAAAGAACACGUAAUACGAUUAAUGAAAGAAAAAGGGUAAAUAUUACAGAUUAGGGUUGUUUUCAUUGAGGAUUAGUUCAAAAGAGUCACCUUGGGAUGCAUGACAGUCUUACUAACCCAUCACACAUCAGCAAUACACUACUCAUGUAUUAGAUGUUAAAUGCUGUAAAAGUAUUGUUCAUUUUUCUUUUGUGAUUCCUAAUGCCUUAACUACUUUUAACAAAUCAAACCUCAUUGUAAAAUGCUGCCA
ensembl:lncRNA